rnacentral:rRNA from 1 species
ACCUAUGGCCAUAGUACCUUGAGUUUUCCAUUCUUGGCUUACCUCAGAAAAUAAGCAGACCCCUAACCUAGUUAGUAGUUAGACGGAAAACGACCUGGGAAUGACAGGUGCUGCAGACG